rnacentral:rRNA from 1 species
AGCAGCCGCGGUAAUUCCAGCUCCAAUAGCGUAUAUUAAAGUUGUUGCAGUUAAAAAGCUCGUAGUUGAAUUUCGGGGUUAGUAGGUUGGCCAUGCCUCUGGUAUGCACUGGCCUCACUGAUUCCUCCUUCCUGAUGAGCUGUAAUGCCAUUAAUUUGGUGUUGCGGGGAAUUUGGACUGUUACUUUGAAAAAAUUUAGAGUGUUUAAAGCAAGCUAACGCUUGAAUACAUUAGCAUGGAAUAAUGAAAUAGGACGUUCGAUCCUAUUUUGUUGGUUUCUAGGAUUGACGUAAUGAUUAAUAGGGAUAGUUGGGGGCAUUAGUAUUCAAUUGUCAGAGGUGAAAUUCUUGGAUUUAUUGAAGACUAACUACUGCGAAAGCAUUUGCCAAGGAUGUUUUCAUUAAUCAAGAACGAAAGUUAGGGGAUCGAAGACGAUCAGAUACCGUCGUAGUCUUAACCAUAAACUAUGCCGACUAGGGAUCGGAUGAUGUUAAUUUUUUAAUGACUCAUUCGGCGCCUU